rnacentral:rRNA from 1 species
CGAGCGUUUCGGAUUUAUUGGGUAAGGGUGCGUAGCUGGGAAAUAAGUCAGCGGUGAAAGUUCAGGGCUUAACUUUGAAAUUGCCGUUGAAACUGUUUUUCUUGAGUAUAUUGGAAGUAGGCGGAAUGUGUAGUGUAGCGGUGAAAUGCAUAGAUAUUACACAGAACCCCGAUUGCGAAGGCAGCUUACUAUACUAUUACUGACGCUGAUGCACGAAAGCGUGGGGAUCAAACAGGAUUAGAUACCCUGGUAGUCCACGCUGUAAACGAUGAUAACUCGCUGUUUGCGAUAUACCGCAAGUGGCCAAGCGAAAGCGUUAAGUUAUCCACCUGGGGAGUACGCCGGCAACGGUGAAACUCAAAGGAAUUGACGGGGGCCCGCACAAGCGGAGGAACAUGUGGUUUAAUUCGAUGAUACGCGAGGAACCUUACCCGGGCUUGAAAUGCAUCUGACGUACUGUGAAAGCAGUAUUCUAGCAAUAGCAGAUGUGUAGGUGCUGCAUGGUUGUCGUCAGCUCGUGCCGUGAGGUGUCGGCUUAAGUGCCAUAACGAGCGCAACCCUUAUCAAUAGUUACCAUCAGGUCAAGCUGGGGACUCUAUUGAGACUGCCACCGUAAGGUGUGAGGAAGGUGGGGAUGACGUCAAAUCAGCACGGCCCUUACGUCCGGGGCGACACACGUGUUACAAUGGGGGGUACAGAGGGCCGCUACCUGGCAACAGGAUGCGAAUCUCAUAAAGCCCCUCUCAGUUCGGAUCGGAGUCUGCAACUCGACUCCGUGAAGCUGGAUUCGCUAGUAAUCGCGCAUCAGCCAUGGCGCGGUGAAUACGUUCCCGGGCCUUGUACACACCGCCCGUCAAGCCAUGGAAGCCGGGGGUACCUGAAGUACGUAACCGCAAGGAGCGUCCUAGGGUAAAACUGGUAACUGGGGCUAAGUCGUAACAAGGUAUCC